UACGUAGGGUGCAAGCGUUGUCCGGAAUUAUUGGGCGUAAAGAGCUCGUAGGCGGUUUGUCGCGUCUGCCGUGAAAGUCCGGGGCUCAACUCCGGAUCUGCGGUGGGUACGGGCAGACUAGAGUGAUGUAGGGGAGACUGGAAUUCCUGGUGUAGCGGUGAAAUGCGCAGAUAUCAGGAGGAACACCGAUGGCGAAGGCAGGUCUCUGGGGCAUUAACUGACGCUGAGGAGCGAAAGCAUGGGGAGCGAACAGG
rnacentral:rRNA from 1 species